rnacentral:lncRNA from 1 species
CUCAAGAACCAAUUAGCAACGCCUAUAAUUAAGCUCACCAUUAACCCAGGGGGUAUAGCUCAAACCCUUUGGUGGGUUGAAAUUCCGUCCCCUCUGACGGGAAGUCUGCCGGGGACUACGUAAGUGACGUCAUAGACCUGGGGCUGGUAUAAAAGGUCGAGCCCGUCCACUUCAGAGAGAAGCAGCGCGUGUCUGUGUGUGUGUGCGCAGCUUUCACCCUCACACUGUGGUAAAGAUGACGCCCGUUCAGCUGGGAGUGCUGUUGUUCGCAUUAUGUUUAUUCUCACAGGUGGUGUGCCAGAACAGCACAAACCCAACAGGUGCAGGAAACUCCACCAUGAACUACACCACCAUGGCCCCUGGCAACAUGAGCGGCUCAGGCAACAUCACCGUCACUCCCACUGCAGCGGGCUUCUUGCUUCAUGCAGGACCCUUCUCCCUCCUGAUCCCCAUCAUGGUGGCCUCCUCCCUCCUCCAGAACCCCUACUGAAACCCGGACCCUGUCGACACCUCACCAUGCAACACCUCUUCAUUUCUCAUCCAGCCUUUGGCUUCAGAGACCAUGUGACUAACUUGGAUGGACUCCACUACUCUGUACGUCCCUGUUUCAACAUAUAUCCACCAUAAAGGCGUUUGGGACCCAAUUCUCAUGGCUUCACUCCCCAUGGUUCACGCUCUCUGCUUCCACCCUUUUUUUUUCUUUUGGCUCUUGUUUCCAUAAGUCGCAUCAUCACAUUUUUGGAAAUGCUCAGGGCUGAAGUUGUCACGUCACAUGACUCUAUUAAAUCAUGGACCUGCACCUCAACGUAUACAGAUUAACUCUCAAUAUCCCAAUUAAUGCUAAAGUUUGGCCGAAGAAAAUUAUUUUCUGUUUUUCUGCUCUUUUAUUAGAAAUGUCUUUGAAAUGUAUGUAGCAAAAAAAAAACAAAACAGUUGCCACCAAACUUGUGUCAGUUUUGCCUUGUGAUUUAUUUUUUUUUUGGGGGGUCUGUGUUUGGGUCUAUUAAACUGAGGGUUGGGUUGACACAUUUCUCCCUUUAUCCAACUGUAUGACAUGGAUGGUGUUGGGUUUAUAUUUCCCCCUUAUAGUUUAUAUUUUGUAUAAAUGGAAAUGUACUGUUUAUUAGUUGAUGUAUGAGACAGUGGAAGAAAUAACUAUGGAU